rnacentral:rRNA from 1 species
UACAGAGGGUGCAAGCGUUGUUCGGAAUUAUUGGGCGUAAAGCGCGUGUAGGCGGCUUUGCAAGUCUUGUGUGAAAUCCCUCGGCUUAACCGAGGAAGUGCGCAAGAAACUGCAGAGCUUGAGUACCGGAGAGGAUGGUGGAAUUCCCCAAGUAGAGGUGAAAUUCGUAGAUAUGGGGAGGAAUACCAAUGGCGAAGGCAGCCCCCUGGGUUAACACUGACGCUCAUGCACGAAAGCGUGGGAGCAAACAGG